UACAGAGGGGGCAAGCGUUGUUUGGAAUUACUGGGCGUAAAGCGCACGUAGGCGGCUUCUUAAGUCGGGUGUGAAAGCCCUCGGCUCAACCGAGGAAGUGCAUUCGAAACUGAGGGGCUUGAAUACUGGAGAGGAUGGCGGAAUUCCCGGUGUAGAGGUGAAAUUCGUAGAUAUCGGGAGGAACACCAGCGGCGAAGGCGGCCAUCUGGACAGAUAUUGACGCUGAGGUGCGAAAGCGUGGGUAGCAAACGAGG
rnacentral:rRNA from 1 species